UACGAAGGGGGCUAGCGUUGCUCGGAAGUACUGGGCGUAAAGGGCUCGUAGGCGGCCAACUAAGUCAGACGUGAAAUCCCUCGGCUUAACCGGGGAACUGCGUCUGAUACUGGAUGGCUUGAAUCCGGGAGAGGGAUGCGGAAUUCCAGGUGUAGCGGUGAAAUGCGUAGAUAUCUGGAGGAACACCGGUGGCGAAGGCGGCAUCCUGGACCGGCAUUGACGCUGAGGAGCGAAAGCCAGGGGAGCAAACGGG
rnacentral:rRNA from 1 species